GACGAACGCUGGCGGCGUGCCUAAUACAUGCAAGUAGAACGCACAGUUUAUACCGUAGCUUGCUACGCCAUACACUGUGAGUUGCGAACGGGUGAGUAACGCGUAGGUAACCUGCCUGGUAGCGGGGGAUAACUAUUGGAAACGAUAGCUAAUACCGCAUAAUAUUGAUUAUUGCAUGAUAAUUGAUUGAAAGAUGCUAUUGCAUCACUACCAGAUGGACCUGCGUUGUAUUAGCUAGUAGGUGAGGUAACGGCUCACCUAGGCGACGAUACAUAGCCGACCUGAGAGGGUGAUCGGCCACACUGGGACUGAGACACGGCCCAGACUCCUACGGGAGGCAGCAGUAGGGAAUCUUCGGCAAUGGACGAAAGUCUGACCGAGCAACGCCGCGUGAGUGAAGAAGGUUUUCGGAUCGUAAAGCUCUGUUGUAAGAGAAGAACGGGUGUGAGAGUGGAAAGUUCACACUGUGACGGUAUCUGACCAGAAAGGGACGGCUAACUACGUG
rnacentral:rRNA from 1 species